CGCGCCGUGCGCUGCCGGCCGUGCGGUGCGGCUGCGGUCCGCGCCGUGCGCUGCCGGCCGCGCGGUGCGGCUGCGGUCCGCGCCGUGCGGC
rnacentral:tRNA from 1 species